GACCUGCCGGGUCUCUGUUCAUCCCGCGAGAUCUCGCGUUAACCUCGGCUACUGGAAAUAUGGCUGCAGCGAGUGAACCCGCGAUGGAGAAAACUGUGACACCUGUUCCCGUGAAGGGGGAAAAGAAAGAAAACGAACAAAUCCGUAAACUCUUCAUUGGUGGCUUGAGCUCUGAAACCACAGAAGAAAGUCUGAGGAAGUACUACCAGCAGUGGGGAGAACUCACAGACUGUGUGGUCAUAAGGGGCCUUGCCAGUCAAAAAUCAAGAGGGUUUGGUUUUGUUACUUUCUCCUCCGUGGCUGAGGUGGAUGCAGCCAUGGCGGCCAGACCUCAUUCCAUUGAUGGGAGAGUGGUUGACCCCAAACGUGCUGUUGCGAGAGAGAAAUCUGAAAAACAGGGGUCGCUUGUCACUGUGAAGAAGCUGUUCGUUGGUGGAAUUAAGGAAGAUACCGAGGAGCAUCAUCUGAGAGAGUACUUUGAGAAAUAUGGAAAAAUCGAUGCCAUUGAGAUCAUUACUGAUAGGCAGUCGGGCAAGAAAAGAGGCUUUGGAUUUGUGACUUUUGAUGACUAUGAUCCCGUGGAUAAGAUAGUGUUGCAGAAAUACCAUACCAUCAAUGGUUAUCGUGCAGAAGUCGGGAAGGCUUUGUCGAGACAGGAAAUGAAGGAAAUUCAAGGUUCUAGAAGUAGAAAAGGAGGCCCCUUUGGUUUUAGUGUUUCUUCUAGUGGGGGUGGAAAUUUUGGACGAGGGCCAGGAACUAAAUUUAGAGGAGAAACUGAUGGAUAUGGAAAUGGUCCCAGAUCUAGGGAUGGCUGUCAUGGGUAUGGAGGAGGACCUGGAGGUGGUAAUUUUGGAGGUUACCCUUGUUAUGGAGGAGGAGGUGGAGAAUAUGGUGGUCGAGGUCCUGGGUAUGGCAACCAGUGGGAGUUCUCUGGAGGUGGUUAUGGCAAUAAUUUUGGAAAUUACAACCAGCAACCGUCUAAUUAUGGUCCAAUGAGGAAUGGUAUCUUUGAUGUUGGCAGGAACAUAGCGGCCCCAUACGGUGGAGAAAAUUAUGGCCCAGGAGCCAGUGGAGGAAGUUGGGGUUAUGGAGGGGGACGUGGAUAUUGAGCGUUUUCCUCUUUGCCCUGGGCUUCACCGUCUGAAUAGCAGAGGAUGAGAGCCCAGACGUAACAGAACAAUUUCAGGUUAUUGAAAUAAGGACAUUAAGAAAAUUCUUAUCUCAGCCAUGAAUAAAUAUUUAGCGAUGUGUCAGAAGAACUCAGAGCAGGUUCAAAGGGUCAUUUUUGUGAAUGGGCUGGGUUAUUUAAGAACAUUACCUUCCUGUGGAGGAAAAAUUGUGAAAAAAACUGACUUUGAUACAGUUUCCUAGCUUCUUAAUUGUUUCUUUCUAGUGAGAGUGUAGAAGUAUUCCUUCUUUGAUAAUGUUAAAUGUGUAAGUUUCAGGUGACAUGUGAAACCUUUUAAAUGGUUUUUCGCAAAGUUUUGAAGCUGUUAGCCA